AACGAACGCUGGCGGCAGGCUUAACACAUGCAAGUCGAACGCGUGUAGCAAUACACGAGUGGCGCACGGGUGAGUAACGCGUGGAUAUCUGCCUUUUGGUUCGGAAUAACCCCGGGAAACUGGGGCUAAUACCGGAUGGUUCCUUCGGGAUAAAGAUUUAUCGCCAAAAGAUGAGUCCGCGUACGAUUAGCUAGUUGGUGAGGUAAUGGCUCACCAAGGCGACGAUCGUUAGCUGGUCUGAGAGGACGAUCAGCCACACUGGGACUGAGACACGGCCCAGACUCCUACGGGAGGCAGCAGUGGGGAAUAUUGGACAAUGGGGGCAACCCUGAUCCAGCCAUGCCGCGUGAGUGAUGAAGGCCUCGGUUGUAAAGUCUCUUUUGGCGGGGACGGAGUGAUGACGGUACCCGCA
rnacentral:rRNA from 1 species